AUUGAACGCUAGCGGCAGGCCUAACACAUGCAAGUCGAACGAGUGGCGGACGGGUGAGUAAUGUAUGGGAAACUGCCUGAUGGCGGGGGAUAACUACUGGAAACGGUAGCUAAUACCGCAUACCAUCGGAUGUGCCCAUAUGGGAUUAGCUAGUAGGUGGGGUAAAGGCUCACCUAGGCGACGAUCCCUAGCUGGUGUGAGAGGAUGACCAGCCACACUGGAACUGAGACACGGUCCAGACUCCUACGGGAGGCAGCAGUGGGGAAUAUUGCACAAUGGGCGCAAGCCUGAUGCAGCCAUGCCGCGUGUAUGAAGAAGGCCUUCGGGUUGUAAAGUACUUUUAGCGGGGAGGCGUUACCCGCAGAAGAAGCACCGGCUAACUCCGUGCCAGCAGCCGCGGUAAUUC
rnacentral:rRNA from 1 species